rfam:Rattus norvegicus chromosome 4, whole genome shotgun sequence.
GGAUGUGAGGGCGAUCUGGCUGCGACAUCUGUCACCCCAUUGAUCGCCAGGGUUGAUUAGGCUGAUCUGGCUGGCUAGGCGGAUGUCCCCUUCCUCCCUCACCGCUCCAUGUGCGACCCUCCAGAAGCUGCGCGCUCGGUCGAAGAGGACGACCUUCCCUGAAUAGAGGAGGACCGGUCUUCGGUCAAGGGUAUACGAGUAGCUGCGCUCCCCUGCUAGAACCUCCAAACAAGCUCUCAAGAAAAAUAUGAGUAUAGUAAAUUCAAAAUGGUGCUCGUUUUCAAUGUU